rnacentral:rRNA from 1 species
AUUGAACGCUAGCGGCAUGCCUAACACAUGCAAGUCGAACGAGUGGCGGACGGGUGAGUAAUGUCUGGGAACCUGCCCGAUAGAGGGGGAUAACUACUCGAAACAGUGGCUAAUACCGCAUACCAUCGGAUCUGCCCAGAUCGGAUUAGCUAGUUGGUGGGGUAACGGCUCACCUAGGCAACGAUCCGUAGCUGGUCUGAGAGGAUGACCAGCCACACUGGGACUGAGACACGGUCCAGACUCCUACGGGAGGCAGCAGUGGGGAAUUUUGGACAAUGGGCGAAAGCCUGAUGCAGCCAUGCCGCGUGUAUGAAGAAGGCCUUCGGGUUGUAAAGUACUUUUAGCGGGGAGGCGGUACCUGCAGAAGAAGCACCGGCUAACUACGUGCCAGCAGCCGCGGUAAUUC